AAUUACUUAACUUAAUUAAAGUACAUAUUUUGAAAAUAUGAAAUAGAUAUACCUAGUAAUUU
rnacentral:tRNA from 1 species